rnacentral:rRNA from 1 species
UACAGAGGGGGCAAGCGUUGUUCGGAAUUACUGGGCGUAAAGGGCGCGUAGGCGGCCUUCUAAGUCGAACGUGAAAUCCCCGGGCUCAACCCGGGAACUGCGUCCGAUACUGGAAGGCUUGAAUCCGGGAGAGGGAUGCGGAAUUCCAGGUGUAGCGGUGAAAUGCGUAGAUAUCUGGAGGAACACCGGCGGCGAAGGCGGCAUCCUGGACCGGUAUUGACGCUGAGGCGCGAAAGCCAGGGGAGCAAACGGG